AGUGAACGCUGGCGGUAGGCCUAACACAUGCAAGUCGAACGGCAGCACAGUAAGAGCUUGCUCUUACGGGUGGCGAGUGGCGGACGGGUGAGGAAUACAUCGGAAUCUACUUUUUCGUGGGGGAUAACGUAGGGAAACUUACGCUAAUACCGCAUACGACCUACGGGGGAAAGCAGGGGAUCUUCGGACCUUGCGCGAUUGAAUGAGCCGAUGUCGGAUUAGCUAGUUGGCGGGGUAAAGGCCCACCAAGGCGACGAUCCGUAGCUGGUCUGAGAGGAUGAUAAGCCACACUGGAGCUGAGACACGGUCCAGACUCCUACGGGAGGCAGCAGUGGGGAAUAUUGGACAAUGGGCGCAAGCCUGAUCCAGCCAUACCGCGUGGGUGAAGAAGGCCUUCGGGUUGUAAAGCCCUUUUGUUGGGAAAGAAAAGCAGCAGGUUAAUACCCCGCUGUUCUGACGGUACCCAAAGAAUAAGCACCGGCUAACUUCGUG
rnacentral:rRNA from 1 species